UAUUAAAUAGCUUACACUAAAGUUUAACUGUGAAGAAGUUAAGAUGAGGUCUCCCUCUUUAUUAUCC
rnacentral:tRNA from 1 species